AACUUUACUGCCCAGUAUUAACAACAACAGACAGGCGUUCAAAGAAAACAAGAGAAACCCACAUUAAGAUAACCAAACAAAUCAAUGGUUGCAAUAUGACUCAGGGUACCAGGGACCGAUUUAAAUCCCUCCCGGACAUAGAAUGGCUGCCUCCCUAUUUCCUCACCCCAAGGACGGCCCCAGGUGGAAUCCAUCUAAAGAAGGUGGUGUUCCUUGGCUAUACCGACAUGGCUGCUGCAGGAAGUCGAGCCUUGUUUGGGCUCAGUAUGGGUAAGGAGUACGAGAGUGUGGAUAUCAGAGGCCUGGAGUCUGUGGAGAUGGUGUGUAGAAGGGCGGAGCCUGAGGAGGCCACAGAGAGGAAACUGGAGGCGGUGCAGAUACUUCACUGUAAAUAUGAAGAGUUAAAUGAACCCAGCACAAAAUUGUGUGAUGUAACCCCUUGAUGCCAUUCCACCCAUACUUAUCAAAAUGUCUCUAUAUUGAUAUGUAGUGUAUAUAUGAUAUUGAAGUUUACGUUGCUGAUUUUCAACUGCAUAAUACCAGCCUCUGUUUGUCACCAUGUUGCAGACAAAAUCCUCAGCCUUUGUAAAGAAAGUAAUGUGAAAAAGCUGGUGAUUCUGACUACACAGAAGAUUUUACAGUUGGAUGAGUUUGAUGAUGAAGUGAUGCCAAUUUAUGAAAAUGCUUUCAAUAGUGAUCCAGUCACAAAACACCAGCAAUUCCCUAAAGAUACAAAGAUUGUGGAUCCAUUUCUGUCUUCAUUGAUUCAGAUGAUACAGUUUGAUGAUCUACCUUGUCAUAUUUUUACAUCUCCUGGUCACAAGGCAACCCCCGGCCCAGCCAAUGAUUAUGAUGGAUCAUGCCAGGCGAUUUCUCAAUUUCACGCUGUGUUGAAAAAGUGGUCAAGACUACAUUUUGAUGAGAAAUUCAGCAAAUCUUUGACCUACAGAGACCCUGGAUCCAAGUCUGAUAUGAUGUAUGUUUAAAACCUGUGUGAUUCUUCCAGCCAUCCUAAAGACAAUUUAAGCUGAAACUGUUAAAUUUAUAGAAGAUGAAUACCGGUACUUUUAUAAGAAAAAUUAAUAAAUAUUGUAUCAUAAGU
rnacentral:misc_RNA from 1 species